rnacentral:pre_miRNA from 1 species
AUUCUACUCCCUCCGUUGCACAAUACUACAUGCCUUCUAUUUGUCAAAAUAUAUAUGUAUCUAGACAUGUCUUAGUAUAUAGGUACAUCCAUUUUUGGACAAAUGGAAGUCAAGUAUUUUGGAACGGAGGGAGUAUACA